UGCAGUCGAGCGGUAACAGAUCUAGCUUGCUAGAUGCUGGCGAGCGGCGGACGGGUGAGUAAUGCAUAGGAAUCUGCCCGAUAGUGGGGGAUAACCUGGGGAAACCCAGGCUAAUACCGCAUACGUCCUACGGGAGAAAGGGGGCUCCGGCUCCCGCUAUGGGAUGAGCCUAUGUCGGAUUAGCUAGUUGGUGAGGUAACGGCUCACCAAGGCGACGAUCCGUAGCUGGUCUGAGAGGAUGAUCAGCCACAUCGGGACUGAGACACGGCCCGAACUCCUACGGGAGGCAGCAGUGGGGAAUAUUGGACAAUGGGCGAAAGCCUGAUCCAGCCAUGCCGCGUGUGUGAAGAAGGCCCUCGGGUUGUAAAGCACUUUCAGCGAGGAAGAACGCCUAGCGGUUAAUACCCGCUAGGAAAGACAUCACUCGCAGAAGAAGCACCGGCUAACUCCGUGCCAGCAGCCGCGGUAAUACGGAGGGUGCAAGCGUUAAUCGGAAUUACUGGGCGUAAAGCGCGCGUAGGUGGCUUGAUAAGCCGGUUGUGAAAGCCCCGGGCUCAACCUGGGAACGGCAUCCGGAACUGUCAAGCUAGAGUGCAGGAGAGGAAGGUAGAAUUCCCGGUGUAGCGGUGAAAUGCGUAGAGAUCGGGAGGAAUACCAGUGGCGAAGGCGGCCUUCUGGACUGACACUGACACUGAGGUGCGAAAGCGUGGGUAGCAAACAGGAUUAGAUACCCUGGUAGUCCACGCCGUAAACGAUGUC
rnacentral:rRNA from 1 species